rnacentral:lncRNA from 1 species
CCAAAUCAUCCUUGUUCCAAAUAGUAACUUCAGUUUCUCAUCCUUAGUAAUGGAUCAUGAAUUCUCUUCAUGGGAGUUAACUGAAAUAAUAUGGCAAGUUAGUAGAUAAAAAGUUUCAGUGCAGGUAACAUGUCUUUUCAAACCUAUUAGGCUCAAGAAAUGAAUUUGGGCUACAGACCUAUUACUUUGUAACAAUGCCUGUUUUAUAGAGAAAGCAAGAAUUCUUGGCUACAUAGUACAUUGAAACAUGUAUAAAAUUUUCAGUUCUCCUCUUCCCAGUGUAACUUGACUUGCCCAUAUGGAGCCUGAAAAUGA